rnacentral:rRNA from 1 species
CCUACGGGAGGCAGCAGUGGGGAAUAUUGCACAACGGGCGCAAGCCUGAUGCAGCAACGCCGCGCGAGGGAUGAAGGCCUUCGGGUUGUAAACCUCUUUCAGUAGGGAAGAAGCGAAAGUGACGGUACCUGCAGAAGAAGCACCGGCUAACUAUGUGCCAGCAGCCGCGGUAAU